rnacentral:rRNA from 1 species
UACGUAGGGUGCGAGCGUUAAUCGGAAUUACUGGGCGUAAAGCGUGCGCAGGCGGUUCGUUGUGUCGGCGGUGAAAGCCCCGGGCUCAACCUGGGAAUGGCCGUUGAAACUGGCGAACUGGAGUGUGGCAGGAGGGGGGGGUGGAAUUCCGCGUGUAGCAGUGAAAUGCGUAGAGAUGCGGAGGAACACCGAUGGCGAAGGCAGCCCCCUGGGCUGACACUGACGCUCAGGCACGAAAGCGUGGGGAGCAAACAGG